GGCCUGGUGGUCUAGUAGUAUGAUUCCUUCUUAGGGUGUCUUGUAUUGGGCAUUGAACCCAAUUGGAGGAGGUCCCGGGUUCAAUUCCCGGCUAGGCCC